UUUUAGAAACUCCAACGGAUACGUGAAAUAACAUUUCUCUCAAUGAAGUGUUAUUUCUACACAUUAUAUCAAAAAAACUAAAACAUGGAGAAGGUACAAAUAAUCGUCAAGCAACGGUUAUUUCAUCUGCACUUGCCCCUUCUUCCUCUUUAAAAAUUGAUACAAGAAAAUGGAGCCACUUCAAAUCGCAAAGCACCUUGCCCUGGCUUCUCAAUUCAAGAGAUUAAUUGUUCUUUGCUCGUCAAUUAAAUGCUUGUCAAUCGUGUACGUGCU
rnacentral:lncRNA from 1 species